GACGAACGCUGGCGGCGUGCCUAAUACAUGCAAGUAGAACGCUGAAGGAGGAGCUUGCUCUUCUGGAUGAGUUGCGAACGGGUGAGUAACGCGUAGGUAACCUGCCUGGUAGUGGGGGAUAACUAUUGGAAACGAUAGCUAAUACCGCAUAAUAACAGUUGUUGCAUGACAACUGUUUGAAAGGUGCAAUUGCAUCACUACCAGAUGGACCUGCGUUGUAUUAGCUAGUUGGUGGGGUAACGGCUCACCAAGGCGACGAUACAUAGCCGACCUGAGAGGGUGAUCGGCCACACUGGGACUGAGACACGGCCCAGACUCCUACGGGAGGCAGCAGUAGGGAAUCUUCGGCAAUGGACGAAAGUCUGACCGAGCAACGCCGCGUGAGUGAAGAAGGUUUUCGGAUCGUAAAGCUCUGUUGUAAGAGAAGAACGAGUGUGAGAU
rnacentral:rRNA from 1 species